rnacentral:tRNA from 1 species
UGCAAGGUGGCAGAAUUAAUGCCUGGGCUUUAAGCGCCCAUUAUGACUUUUAAGUCCCUUGUCA